rnacentral:rRNA from 1 species
UACGUAGGGUGCAAGCGUUAAUCGGAAUUACUGGGCGUAAAGCGUGCGCAGGCGGUUCGGAAAGAGAGGUGUGAAAUCCCAGGGCUUAACCUUGGAACUGCACUUCUAACUACCGGGCUAGAGUAUGUCAGAGGGGGGUAGAAUUCCACGUGUAGCAGUGAAAUGCGUAGAGAUGUGGAGGAAUACCGAUGGCGAAGGCAGCCCCCUGGGAUGAUACUGACGCUCAUGCACGAAAGCGUGGGGAGCAAACAGG